rnacentral:rRNA from 1 species
CCUACGGGAGGCAGCAGUAAGGAAUAUUGGUCAAUGGGCGCAAGCCUGAACCAGCCAUGCCGCGUGCAGGAAGACGGCCCUACGGGUUGUAAACUGCUUUUGUACCGGAAUAAACCCCCGAUCGUGAUCGGGGCUGAAUGUACGGUAAGAAUAAGGAUCGGCUAACUCCGUGCCAGCAGCCGCGGUAAUACGGAGGAUCCAAGCGUUAUCCGGAUUUAUUGGGUUUAAAGGGUGCGUAGGCGGCCUGUUAAGUCAGGGGUGAAAGACGGUAGCUUAACUAUCGCAGUGCCUUUGAUACUGACGGGCUUGAAUGUACUUGAGGUAGGCGGAAUGUGACAAGUAGCGGUGAAAUGCAUAGAUAUGUCACAGAACACCAAUUGCGAAGGCAGCUUACUAAAGUAUGAUUGACGCUGAGGCACGAAAGCGUGGGGAUCAAACAGGAUUAGAUACCCUGGUAGUCCACGCCCUAAACGAUGAAUACUCGAUGUUGCGAUAUACGGCCAGCGUCUAAGCGAAAGCGUUAAGUAUUCACCUGGGAGUAGCCGCAGGUGAAACGUUAAAGAGUUAGUGCGNGNGAGNGNGACGACGACGACGAGGAGGAGGAG